UGGCUGCGAACGCAUACUCAUUCCUUUCCAUGUGCUUGCUGGUUUACCUGUGAUAUAUCAGGACGAAAGAGCCUAGUGCGGGGACUUUGUUGGCCGUGAGAGGCUGAGGUGAGUUUUCACAAGACGCCAUCUUGGACAAGAAUUGUUGAAGUUCAAGUUAACUAUAAUUCACCCGAAUUCACCCAAUUUGUGACCUUUAUUUUACGUCUUCCUUAAAAUUCAAGCAGGAAAAUGUGGGGACAAGCUUUAAGAAUAGCUAGGACGACACUUUUUAGGCGAAACAUGACAACAGGUCGAAUGCCAGAACAAAUUGGAGAAGGUGGUAAACCAGUGAGCACUGCUCAUCAAGUCACAGCCUUCGUGUGCAUUUCUUGUUCUCUUCUUGGUCCAGGAAUUAUAUUGAUGUUGACUCGUGAAAAACCAACUCAAGAACACUAAGCUAGGUCAAGAUUUAAGAUGAUGAUAAAUAUUGGACAAUCUUGUUUGCUGUAAACUUAUACAGUCGUUUUGAUGUGUGUUUGAAUACAAAUAGGAUUUUCUGCAUCUUGUUUUGUAUUUCAUGGCUCUGAGAUUUCAUUGUAAUAAGGCGUUUUUGAUUUGUGAAAAUAAAUGAUAAUAAUGGCAAUGA